UGGGGAAUUGUUCACAAUGGGCGCAAGCCUGAUGACGCAACGCCGCGUGGAGGAUGAAGGUCUUCGGAUUGUAAACUCCUGUUGCUCGGGACGAAAAGCUCUGACCUAAUACUUCAGAGUCUGACGGUACCGGGUGAGGAAGCCCCGGCUAACUCUGUGCCAGCAGCCGCGGUAAUACAGAGGGGGCAAGCGUUGUUCGGAAUUACUGGGCGUAAAGGGCGCGUAGGCGGCCCUCUAAGUCAGACGUGAAAUCCCCGGGCUCAACCCGGGAACUGCGUCUGAUACUGGAGGGCUUGAAUCCGGGANAGGGAUGCGGAAUUCCAGGUGUAGCGGUGAAAUGCGUAGAUAUCUGGAGGAACACCGGUGGCGAAAGGCGGCAUCCUGGACCGGUAUUGACGCUGAGGCGCGAAAGCCAGGGGAGCAAACGGGAUUAGAUACCCUUGUAGUCCCUGAGCGGGCUGGCAAGGCGCAU
rnacentral:rRNA from 1 species